rnacentral:rRNA from 1 species
AGAGUUUGAUCCUGGCUCAGGAUGAACGCUGGCGGCGUGCUUUAUGCAUGCAAGUCGAACGGUCCCGAUUUAUCGGGACAGUGGCGGAUGGGUGAGUAACGCGUAAGUAACCUGCCCUAAAGUGGGGGAUAACCCUGGGAAACUGGGGCUAAUACCGCAUGUGGUGGUAGGGUGAUGCUCUAUCACUAAAGCCUUCGGGCGCUUAAGGAGGGGCUUGCGUCCGAUUAGCUAGUUGGUAGGGUAAUGGCCUACCAAGGCGAUGAUCGGUAGCUAGUCUGAGAGGACGGUCAGCCACACUGGGACUGAGACACGGCCCAGACUCCUACGGGAGGCAGCAGCAAGGAAUUUUAUGCAAUGGGCGAAAGCCUGACAUAGCGACGCCGCGUGGGGGAUGAAGGCCUUCGGGUCGUAAACCCCUUUUCUCAGGGAAGAACAAUGACGGUACCUGAGGAAUAAGUCUCGGCUAACUACGUGCCAGCAGCCGCGGUAAGACGUAGGAGGCGAGCGUUAUCCGGAUUUACUGGGCGUAAAGAGGGCGUAGGCGGCCUUUCAAGUCGGAUGUGAAAUCUCCCGGCUUAACUGGGAGGGGUCAUUCGAAACUGUUGGGCUGGAGGACAGCAGAGGGAAGCGGAAUUCCCGGUGUAGUGGUGAAAUGCGUAGAUAUCGGGAGGAACACCAGUGGCGAAGGCGGCUUUCUGGGCUGUUUCUGACGUUGAGGCCCUAAAGCGUGGGGAGCGAACAGGAUUAGAUACCCUGGUAGUCCAUGCUGUAAACUAUGGACACUAGGUAUGGGGAGUAUCGACCCUCUCUGUGCCGAAGCUAACGCGUUAAGUGUCCCGCCUGGGGACUACGGCCGCAAGGCUAAAACUCAAAGGAAUUGACGGGGGCCCGCACAGCAGCGGAGCGUGUGUUCAUUCGAUGCAAGCGAAGAACCUUACCAAGGCUUGACAUGCACCGAUGCCCAAGAAUUGGGAGGUCCUUCGGGACCGGUGCACAGAUGCUGCAUGCUGUCGUCAGCUCGUGAGGAGUGUUGGGUAAGUCCCGCACGAGCGCACCCUGUGCAGUUGUAUUUUUCUGGCCAACUGCUCGCAACGGAGAGGUGGGAUGACUCAGUCAG